CCUACGGGUGGCAGCAGUGAGGAAUAUUGGUCAAUGGACGCAAGUCUGAACCAGCCAUGCCGCGUGCAGGAAGAAGGUGCUAUGCAUUGUAAACUGCUUUUAUACGGGGGUAAUUCCCGAUACGUGUAUCUGGAUGACCGUACCGUAUGAAUCAGGAUCGGCUAACUCCGUGCCAGCAGCCGCGGUAAUACGGAGGAUCCGAGCGUUAUCCGGAUGUAGUGGGUGUAAGGGGUGCGUAGGCGGUCAGGUAAGUUAGAGGUGAAAGCUCGAUGCUCAACAUCGAAACUGCCUCUGAUACUGUGUGACUAGAGUGUAGUUGCGGAAGGCGGAAUGUGUGGUGUAGCGGUGAAAUGCUUAGAUAUCACACAGAACACCGAUGGCGAAGGCAGCUUGCCAAGCUAUAACUGACGCUGAGGCACGAAAGCGUGGGGAGCGAACAGGAUUAGAUACCCGUGUAGUC
rnacentral:rRNA from 1 species